UAAAGGGUGCGUAGGUGGUUUUUAAGUCCGUUGUGAAAUCCCUGGGCUCAACCUGGGAAUGGCAGUGGAUACUGGAAAGCUAGAGUGCGGUAGAGGGUAGUGGAAUUCCCGGUGUAGCAGUGAAAUGCGUAGAGAUCGGGAGGAACACCAGUGGCGAAGGCGGCUACCUGGACCAGCACUGACACUGAAGCACGAAAGCGUGGGGAGCAAACAGGAUUAGAUACCCCUGU
rnacentral:rRNA from 1 species